UAUAUACCUCUUCGAUGCUACAUUGUAUUUUGCAUCUUGAUUUAUGAAAUCAGUGGUUUGUUUGCUAACUCUUCUGUGAUGUUUAUGUGGCUGGCAUAUUCUUGAGGAUUAUAUUUUUAUGUCUCUUGUGGAUUGUACUUUAGAGAAACUUGGAUAAAUAUUUGUCUAUAAUUCGCCAAAUGCUCUUUUGAAAUUAGAGAUUUCAUGCAGUAAAGUUUAAAACAUAAGUGCAAUAUGUUGAUAUGUUUAAACAUCAGUUAUUUUGUAAGAGAUAAUUUUCUGUUUGACAGGAUAGAGGAAGCGGAAGCACAAUGUGCAUUGCUAAAUUCGGCAUCCUUUUGUGAUGGGUGCUUCACUUCAGAUUCAGAUAUUUUCCUUUUCGGAGCAAGGACAGUAUAUAGAGAUAUUAUUCUAGGAGAGGGUGGAUAUGUUAUUUGUUAUGAGAUGGUAGAUGUAGAGCGCAAACUUGGGUUUGGAAGGAACUCACUGGUAAGGUGCCUUCUACAUCUUGUUGUAUGGAGCCACACACCCUUUCUUUGUUUUCUCUUACCAAUGAAGUUUUUGGCAAUUUUCCAUUUAUGUAAUAUUAUGUUAUUGAGAGUUUUGAAAUUACAAAGUUUCAAUUCUUAUAAUAUGUGAAGUGAAUUUGCAGCUUAGCCAUGAAACUAUCUAUUUGCAAACCUGCAAAUAACGGAAUAAGGUUUUGUAUGUCACUAUGACUUUAUGAGAUAUAUAUAUAUAUAUAUAUAUAUAUAUAUAUAUAUAUAUAUAUCUAUAUAUAU